rnacentral:piRNA from 1 species
UUCAUUUUAGAUGUGUGUAGAUGAACUGC